GAUGAAGAACGCAGCGAAAUGCGAUAAGUAAUGUGAAUUGCAGAAUUCAGUGAAUCAUCGAAUCUUUGAACGCACAUUGCGCCCCUUGGUAUUCCGAGGGGCAUGCCUGUUCGAGCGUCAUUUCAACCCUCAAGCACAGCUUGGUCUUGGGCUUCGCCGCUAACCCGGCGGGUCUUAAAAUCAGUGGCGGUGCCGUCGGGCCCUGAGCGCAGUAAUUCCUCUCGCUAUAGGGUCCCGGCGGAUGCUGGCCAGUAACCCCCAAUUUUCUAUGGUUGACCUCGGAUCAGGUAGGGAUACCCGCUGAACUUAAGCAUAUCAAUAAGCGGAGGA
rnacentral:misc_RNA from 1 species